GACGAACGCUGGCGGCGUGCCUAAUACAUGCCAGUAGAACGCACAGUUUAUACCGUAGCUUGCUACACCAUAGACUGUGAGUUGCGAACGGGUGAGUAACGCGUAGGUAACCUGCCUGGUAGCGGGGGAUAACUAUUGGAAACGAUAGCUAAUACCGCAUAAUAUUAAUUAUUGCAUGUUAAUUAAUUGAAAGGUGCAAUUGCACCACUACCAGAUGGACCUGCGUUGUAUUAGCUAGUAGGUGAGGUAACGGCUCACCUAGGCGACGAUACAUAGCCGACCUGAGAGGGUGAUCGGCCACACUGGGACUGAGACACGGCCCAGACUCCUACGGGAGGCAGCAGUAGGGAAUCUUCGGCAAUGGACGAAAGUCUGACCGAGCAACGCCGCGUGAGUGAAGAAGGUUUUCGGAUCGUAAAGCUCUGUUGUAAGAGAAGAACGGGUGUGAGAGUGGAAAGUUCACACUGUGACGGUAUCUUACCAGAAAGGGACGGCUAACUACGUG
rnacentral:rRNA from 1 species